AUGCACCAGCAUCCGUUGUGCCGCGUCAGUGCGCUGUUUCUUUGGGUUGGGAUGCUGAACCUGAAACAGAAAACGGAUACCAUCCUGAUUUCUGUUGGCUAUCUGAACGCCCUUAUGCCCACUGGAUGCGCAGUUCAAAACCAGAAGUAUUCAAGAAGAAGACACCUUUCUCAAGAAACUCCUUCCCAUUCAUUCAUGGUGAAUAAGGAAAAUUUUCUGCCACCUCAGACCCAACGAGAAUCCACUGCAAUCUCAUCAUCAACAUCCGGAGAUAUCAUUUGAUGAGAACAUCAAGAUGCUUCUCAACCUCUACCAGUGCCCUUCAUUGGUGGGCCCACGUGGGCCCUGCUACUAAGGACCCCAUUAUCACUGAGGCUUUUCUUGCUGACGCUAGCCCCGUCAAGAUCAAUCUUGGAGUGGUAUUUUUUCUUUUAUUUUAUUUUAUUUCUGGAGUUGUGUUCCUUGUAACUUUCAUGAUAAUGCUUGUUAUUUAUUGGUUUUAUGAUUUUGGGGUCUCUGAAUUUUAUUUUCUUGUUUACAUUUUUUAGGGAGCUUAUAGGGAUGAUAAGGGCGGGCAAACCUGUUUUCUGUCAAUGCCUUCGACACAUUGAUAUGAGGAACAUAAGCAGUACAAGGAACAAAGGAAUGUAGACAUUUAAUUGACAGAUAUAUAUGCAUAUCUUCAUGGAAUUCCAAUUUCGGAAAUUCUAACCACAUUAUCUUCUUAUUUUAAUUACUGAUUUAGUGGAAGCCAUUUCCUUGAACACUUAGUGGUAUGACUCUUCACAUCCCUCCUCCUACACUACCAAUCCUGUUGUAGUGAAGUUUUAGCAAGGGGCAUUGGCAGGGAGUCUAUUUCAUCUGCAGUGAGUUCAAAUUGUCCGAGGAGAGUGUCAAAUUGGUUUAUGGUAAGAAUUCAGAUGUCAUAAAAGAAGGCAGUUUUGCUGGUGUUCAAGCACUCUCGGGAACUGGUGCGUGCAGCCUCUUUGUGGAGUUCCAGAAGCGUUUUUCAUCCUGAAUCUUCAAUAUAUUUGCCCAAUCCUAUUUGGUCCAAAUAAGUUUGAUUGGUAUCCUCUCAGUUCUUUCCCAAGUUUAUAUUUAAAACUACAGCAUAAAUUGCAUUCAGGUCCAUAGUUUUAAUUGAGAACAACAUUUUCCAUUCCCCAAAAUGGAAGACUGUUUCAUUUGAGGUAAAUCCUAAGGACCUGAAUAUAAGUUACUAACAGAUUUAUGGGUUCCAUCUUUCUGUCACUGAGAUUCAAUCUUGUGCAUUUCACAGCUACCAUAACAUAUGGAGAGAUGCCCAAGUUCCACCGAGUACCUUUCGCUACUACCAUCCUGAUUUGAAGGGUUUAAACUUUACUGCUCUUAUGGAUGAUGUAAAGAGAUGUCAUCAUACGGGAAUUUUUGUGCAACUCAUAGAGCAGAUGAUAAUUCUUUAUUUGGUAAUGCAACAGAUUUGUCAUGUUUCUCAAGCACCUUCUGUGUCAUUCAUUCAGACCAACAAGCACACCUUUUUAAUCAACUGCAAAACAUCUUGUCUAAAUCAGUAGCUGCCUUAAACUUUUGCUACAUCUUAUAGAACUCUUAACUUUUGGCUAUGUCUAACAAGAGUUGGAGUUCAGAUUUUCAAAGCCAAAAAAACAGGUGCAAGUUCAUUGUACUAGUGUAGUUGUUUGGCAACAGGAGUACUGCAACAUCGUAUUUCUGGAUAAGUUGUCAAUAAAAUGCUGUUUUUCUGAGCUUCAAAACAUGCUGCAGAAUACUGAAACUUGCAAUUGUGGCAUUCAUAUAAUUUUGUUGAUUUUCUUUGAUUAUGGCUUCUGUAGAAUGCCUCAGAUGGUUCCUUUUUUCUGCUCCAUCCCUAUUCUCACAACCCUACUAGAGUUGAUCCUACUGAGGGAUAAUGGAGGGAAAUCACAUAUCAAUUCAAGGUAAAGAAUCAUUCCCUUCUUCGACAUGGCUUACCAAGGUUUUGCAAGUGGACACCUUGACAAGGAUGCUCUAUCCAUCUGUAUUUUACUAUUUUUCUUGACGAUGGGCAUUUGAUAGGUUGUGCCCAAUCCUUUGCAUAGAACAUGGGAUUGUAUGGACACUGAGUUGGUUGUCUCAGUGUUCUUUGCAAUGAUAUGAUGCAAGCAGAGGCAAUCAAAAGCCAACUGCAGAAGAUUGCCAGGGCAAUGUAUAGUAACCCUCCUGUUCAUGGGAAACCACUAGUAUCUACUGUCCUGAGUGAUCCAGAUAUAAAGGCACUUUGGGUCAAAGAGGUGAAGGUAACAUAAAUCAUCAUAAGUUGCUCUUCUUUUUGUUUCUUGUCAAUGGAAUGCCAGGAAGCUGACAAUGUGAUAUGCCUUGUGAUCAUUGCCUGGAACACAAGGGCAUGGCAAAUCGCAUUCAAGCAAUGAGGAUUAAUCUGUGGAAAAGCUUUAGGCAAUUAGGUUCUUCUCUCAAUUGGGAACAUAUAACAAAACCAUGUUGGCUGAUAACCAUUGAUUUUCUCAUUCACUUCAUACUGCUUCAAGUGUACUUUGGGUCAAUUUGCAGUUUUAUAUGAAAAGCUGAAAUGCGGAUGCCUAAGCAUUUAGAUUGUAA